UGUUUUUGACAAGGAUUCAUGAAACUAUGAAAUCUAACAGCUGAAGUGUGUUUAUGCAAAUUCACCCUGUUAUUAAAAAAAGCCUCUUGCAGUUUGAAGUUUGUGUCACACGACUGAAUCAAAGAGCAUGAUGAUGGGGCUGAGGGUCACUCAGUACUACAUCUUUGUUAUAAUGUUAACCAAAGGUGUCAGCAGUGAUGAGAUCAGACUGGACCAGUCUCCUGCUGUUGUAAAGAGACCUGGAGAAACUGUGAAGAUCUCCUGUAAGAUACACGGAUAUUCAAUGACAAGCAGCUACAUACACUGGAUCAGACAGAAAACAGGGAAAGCUCUGGAAUGGCUUGGCUGGAUGAGUACAGGUAAUAAUGCAGCAAUAUAUGCAGAGUCUGUGAAGAACCAGCUCACUUUAACAGAAGACGUCUCAGCAAGCACACAGUACUUAGAGGCCAAGAGUCUGAGGACAGAGGACACUGCGGUUUAUUACUGCGCCCGAGACCCAACAGUGACUGAAGCUGAGGAAGCAGCUGUACUAAAACCAGACACACAUUGUAACUGAACUAACUGAAGUUGCUUAAAUUAUAAUUGUAAGACAGAUGAACACGGUUUGUAUCUAUUUAUUGCUCCAAUUAUCUAUACUGUAAAUGUACCUGGAUAUAACCCUAAAGUGGGCGUGGCCUAAAAUAAUUAUCAGGAAUGAAAAUCUAGAUAAACCCUGUUUCUAUGAUCCUGGAAACACUUGAAAGCCACAGGUAGAAAUGGCAGCUCUGUCAGCAUGCUGUGUGACAUCCCAUUCCCAAUACACACUGUAAUACACACAUCAUAGUGUGAUUACACAAUGUAAUACACACAUCACAGUCACAAUACACACUGUAAUACACACAUCACAGUCACAAUACACACAUCACAGUCACAAUACACAUUGUAAUACACACAUCCCAGUCCCAAUAUACACUGUAUUACACAGAUCACAGUCACAAUACACACUGCAACACACAACUCAGUCUCCCAUCCCAGUCAUCCCGUUCCCAAUUUAACUCAUUGGAUGGAUGAUUGAUUUUUUUGGAUUCUGCAAAAAUGAUUCAUAUUUAACAACAAUAUUCUGUGUAUUUUAGGAAUUCUACAGUUUGACUCACUUUGACUCACAGUUUGACUCACUUAUUUUUAUGCAUUUAUGUGUAUCACAGUGCAAAUAAAAUUCAAACCCAAGCAGCAGAAGUGUUAGGGAGCGUUAACUAAUACUACAAACAGAACAGUUUGUGACCUGACAAUGUGAAACUUACAGUCAUUUAUUUUAACUUACAGUUAUUUUAAUGUUACAA